AUUUGGUUGUGGCCAAGGAAAGGAAAAUUUUCUUCAAGUUCUUUAGAACCACAUAAUGGAAUGGCAUUACCAUCUUAUUUAUUCCGCGAUUUCCAGCACCAUCAAUUUCUAGUUUCGGCUUUUCGAUAUGUUUCGAUCUCUUUGCUAAUUGUGUUUGUUCAAGUUAAAUGA